UCUCACCCGGGGGUCUUGUUUGAUGCGUAUGUUCAUGUUUCGAAUGACCCUGUCAUCGUUGGUCAUGUGAUCAAUCGAUGACAUCACUCCACCACCAUUGAGUGCCUAGAGAAAACAAAACGUAAAACUAUUAUUUCUAAUUAAGA
ensembl:ncRNA F53B3.8 ncRNA